rnacentral:lncRNA from 1 species
CCGCCGACGCUGUUAAGAGAGAAGGAGGCUGCCAUUGUCGGUUCGGCCUCCUGCCGGCGUCCUUUCGGCGAUUCAACACCGGAUUUGGACUCCCCACACCUGAAAACUCUGGAAACAACCUUCCCCCGUCGUGAAUCCCCCGCUGGCAGCUUCAGGAAGCUUCACCGAAGCAGCACCCUUUCGGCCCCUAUCCGACCACUUUCCGGCUGAAACUUUUGCAUUUUCAGACUUCCCGC